rfam:Hordeum vulgare subsp. vulgare, WGS project CAJW01000000 data, contig: morex_contig_50287
AAAGUACUCCCUCCGUCCCAUAAUUCUUGUCUUAGCUUUGUCUAGANNNGGAUGUAUCUAAAUACUAAAAGUUGACUAGAUACAUUCAUAUCUAAAUAAAUCUAAGACAAAAAUUUGGGGACGGAGGGAGUAGUAU